UGAAUGGUGAAAAUAAAGGAAGUGGCUCGUUCCAAGCUUUCCUCACCUUCAAAGGCAAAGGAUUCAUGAAUAUUCAUUGAUCACCAAGAAAAGUGUUUGUGGUAACGUUGAAAGUUUCACUUACAGUAAAUCGGAGAACCUGUCAAGAAUCCAUCCGUUAGAACGCAAAGCCACACAUCACAAACCAUGGUUUUAUUUCCUGUUAUUGUUGUGCUACUGACAGUCGCAGGCGCUGGUGCAGAGUCUGUUGCUAAAAUCAUCCCAGGUAGGUAACACAA